UACGGGGGGGGCAAGCGUUGUUCGGAAUUACUGGGCGUAAAGGGCGCGUAGGCGGUGUGUCAAGUCAGGCGUGAAAGCCCGGGCUCAACCUGGGAACAGCGCUUGAGACUGGCACGCUCGAGUUCGGGAGAGGAUGGUGGAAUUCCCAGUGUAGAGGUGAAAUUCGUAGAUAUGGGAAGAACACCGAUGGCGAAGGCAGCCAUCUGGACCGACACUGACGCUGAGGCGG
rnacentral:rRNA from 1 species